CACGGCCCGGUGCACCUGGGGUGGCUUCACAGGUGGUAACGUGCGAGUUUGGCGUUCAGGAUUGAGGGAGGGAGCUGCCGUGUCAGGCAGACUCGCAGAGCCGUGAGUGCGCGUGUGAGGACGGGGCCGUCUCACGCUGCUCACAGGUGAGCCGUGUGGACCCGCAGCUCUCACAGCUCCUGUGUGCGGCACUGGUACGCGGUAGAUCUGGGCAAGACCCCGGGGCCAUGAACGGAUGGUCCGAUUCCUGCCACGUUCUGGAAUGUGGUCGAGGAACACGCUGAUUUCUCAGCCUUCUGGAAGGGAUGCCUUGAAUUAUUCAGCCUGCGGUGCAGAUCUCUGGAGAACACAGCCUUGCGGCUACUUUAAUCACUGGAAAGGUUCGGAGUCAGUUAUAAUCAAGCCAGAGUCAAUGUGGAAAUGCUCGUCUCUGAAAAGGAAGCCCAAGGAGAUAAAAUCGGAAUGGAGAGACAGAGGUCAGUUUUCAGGGCCUCUUAGGCCCCUUCUCACAUUUCCAAACGGGGUCGCAGACCUCA
rnacentral:lncRNA from 1 species